CUCUGCGUCGCCGUCGGGCCAUGCCCCGACCGCGGACGCUUGCGCGCGGAUCCAGUGAGAAGAGCAGGGCUAGUCGUCACCGUGCACCCGCUCUGUCGUUGCCGUGCUCACGAGGACCAAUCGAAGGACGCCGCCACGACGGAUCUGGUCCCCACUCUCCACCAUCAUCGGUGUCCGUGUGUGGACCCCAUCCGUCUUCCUUCGCGAGCGUUGGCCACGGCUGUGCCAUCACUUUGAUGAGCAGUGGAUGUGCGACGGGGGAGCAGGGGAGACGACGCGGCCGAGGAGAAGAUGGGCGGGAUGGAGGAGGACCAGAGCCUGUGCAUCGUCAUUGACAUCGUCGAGGAAGAAGCCAUAUCACGUCUCAUAGGAAUUUUCUCGAUCACGGCAAUUAUUAGCGGAGCAUAGUAUGAUUUCAAAGAGAUGAUCACGACAAUAAUGGCACACAGGGUAAUCAAGGGACGGCACCGCAUCGUCUGCUCUCCCUUGUGGUUUAAAUACCGGAGGAAUGGGAGGAGGCGUCUUGCUCUCCCUGUUCGUUCCCGCUGCUGCCGGCGGCGAGAGCUUCCUGCUCAGAAAGCUUGUGAUGGCCGCAGAGGGUGGCAAGGACCGCCUCGGUGACCUCACUAACAACCUCCUCCGGCAUGUGUUGUCCCUUCUUUCGCCCGAAGAUGCCCUGAAGACUUGUGUGCUAGACACCAGGUGGCGCGAAUUAUGUAGGCGCACCACUAGCCCGCACUCCGUCAGUCUCAAGCGUUGGCUGUAGAAGUUCUCCGCCAACCUGGCGUGUGUGUCUGUGCUGGUCGGUCUCAAGCGUUGGUUGUAGAAGUUCUCUGGCUGUAGAAGUUCUCCGCCAACCUGGCGUGUGUGUCUGUGCUGGUCGGUCUCAAGCGUUGGUUGUAGAAGUUCUCUGGCUGUAGAAGUUCUCCGCCAACCUGGCGUGUGUGUCUGUGCUGGUCGGUCUCAAGCGUUGGUUGUAGAAGUUCUCUGCCAACCCAGCUGUACAUGCCGCAGAUUACUUCAAUCGGAAGGCGUCAUGAUGGUAUGCUAGAGAUUUAUAAUCUGUAGAUCAUGUUGAGUUCUCCUUUACUUGAUCAUUCUUUAUUUGCUAUCCUUUCAUCUUCAAUAUUUCAGA